GGGGACGUCUUACCGCUAUGUCUGUCCCGAUGAAUUAUGUCCAUUUCAGAUUUGCCUGAAUUGUUGUUUCCGGCAGGAGCGCAACAUUAAACAUCCAGGUCACAACUACGAGGACCACGCGUUGACCUUGGUGCGGAGGCCAGCAUUGUUCAGGUGUGACGCUUGCGGCCAAGAACAUGAAGAUUCAUCAUAUACUUGUAACGCUUGUGCAUUUUGGAUGCACCAAAAAUGUGCUUUUGUGCCAACUAGCAUAGAAUGUAAGUUUCAUGAUGAUCACCCUCUCGCCUUGGCCUAUAUUUUACCAGAACGAUAUCGUCAAUUUAAGCAAAUGUGCAGCAUCUGCGAUAAGGAAGUGGAGCGGAUUUACUGGCUUUAUUAUUGUGUCAAAUGUAGGUUCUUUGCUCAUAUCCAAUGUGCAACAUCAACUAAAAAAAAAACCUUUGAG
rnacentral:lncRNA from 1 species